rnacentral:rRNA from 1 species
AGACUGGGAUAACUCCGGGAAACCGGAGCUAAUACCGGAUAGUUCCUUGAACCGCAUGGUUCAAGGAUGAAAGACGGUUUCGGCUGUCACUUACAGAUGGACCCGCGGCGCAUUAGCUAGUUGGUGGGGUAAUGGCUCACCAAGGCGACGAUGCGUAGCCGACCUGAGAGGGUGAUCGGCCACACUGGGACUGAGACACGGCCCAGACUCCUACGGGAGGCAGCAGUAGGGAAUCUUCCGCAAUGGACGAAAGUCUGACGGAGCAACGCCGCGUGGAGUGAUGAAGGUUUUCGGAUCGUAAAGCUCUGUUGUUAGGGAAGAACAAGUGCGAGAGUAACUGCUCGCACCUUGACGGUACCUAACCAGAAAGCCACGGCUAACUACGUGCCAGCAGCCGCGGUAAUACGUAGGUGGCAAGCGUUGUCCGGAAUUAUUGGGCGUAAAGGGCUCGCAGGCGGUUUCUUAAGUCUGAUGUGAAAGCCCCCGGCUCCACCCGGGGAGGGUCAUUGGAAACUGGGGAAACUUGAGUGCAGAAAAAGGAGAGUGGAAUUCCACGUGUAACGGUGAAAUGCGUAAAAAAUGUGGAAGAACCCCAUUGGCGAAGGCGACUCUCUGGUCUGUAACUGACGCUGAGGAGCGAAAGCGUGGGGAGCGAACAGGAUUAGAUUCCCUGGUAGU